CUUCUGGAGGAUCCCAACUGUAAACUGAAGAAACUAGAACUGUCUCAUUGUCUCAUCACACACGAGGGCUGUUCUUUCUUGGCCUCUGCCCUCAAAUCAAACCCCUCCUACCUGAAAUGGCUGGAUCUGAGCUACAAUCACCCAGGAGACUCCGGUGUCAGAAAGCUCACAGGCAGACUGAAUGAUCCAAACUGUAAACUAAAGACUUUCAGGUAUGACCAUGGAGGAGAGUUCAGGAUUAAACCAGGACCGAGAAAAUGUGAGUGAUUUUAUUCAUUUUCCCUUAA